GUUGAGAAAGUACGAUACUUGGUCGAAUUUAAAGAAAAAAGAGAAGCUUAGCGUUGGUCCUGCACUUUGGAUGACAUAGUUCAUCAAGGAGAAGCUAUACGUUUUU
rnacentral:snRNA from 1 species